rnacentral:rRNA from 1 species
UGGCGGACGGGUGAGUAAUGUCUGGGAAACUGCCCGAUGAGGGGGGAUAACUACUGGAAACGGUAGCUAAUACCGCAUAACGUCGCAAGACCAAAGAGGGGGACCUUCGGGCCUCUUGCCAUCGGAUGUGCCCAGAUGGGAUUAGCUAGUAGGUGGGGUAAAGGCUCACCUAGGCGACGAUCCCUAGCUGGUCUGAGAGGAUGACCAGCCACACUGGAACUGAGACACGGUCCAG